UACGAAGGGGGCUAGCGUUGCUCGGAAUCACUGGGCGUAAAGGGUGCGUAGGCGGGUCUUUUAAGUCAGGGGUGAAAUCCUGGAGCUCAACUCCAGAACUGCCUUUGAUACUGAGGAUCUUGAGUACGGGAGAGGUGAGUGGAACUGCGAGUGUAGAGGUGAAAUUCGUAGAUAUUCGCAAGAACACCAGUGGCGAACGGCGGCUCACUGGCCCGAUACUGACGCUGAGGCACGAAAGCGUGGGGAGCAAACAGG
rnacentral:rRNA from 1 species